GAUGAACGCUGGCGGCGUGCUUUAACACAUGCAAGUCGAACGAAGACAUCUGAGUGCUUGCACUUGGAUGGACUGAGUGGCGGACGGGUGAGUAACGCGUGGGUAACCUGCCUUAUACAGGGGGAUAACAGUUGGAAACGACUGCUAAUACCGCAUAAGCGCACGGUAUCGCAUGAUACAGUGUGAAAAACUCCGGUGGUAUAAGAUGGACCCGCGUCUGAUUAGCUUGUUGGUGAGGUUAACGGCCCACCAAGGCGACGAUCAGUAGCCGGCCUGAGAGGGUGAACGGCCACAUUGGGACUGAGACACGGCCCAAACUCCUACGGGAGGCAGCAGUGGGGAAUAUUGCACAAUGGGGGAAACCCUGAUGCAGCAACGCCGCGUGAGUGAAGAAGUAUUUCGGUAUGUAAAGCUCUAUCAGCAGGAAAGAAAAUGACGGUACCUGACUAAGAAGCCCCGGCUAACUACGUG
rnacentral:rRNA from 1 species